GCCACGGUCUGCUGCAAAGUCCACUCAACAUGGAUUGUUUUAAUAAAACAAAUGGAUUUUAAGAAGAUAUUUGCUGAUUCCUGUGUAUGAUCUUAAUUGUAUAUGAAACAAUACAUGAACAACACUGACGCAUAUGAAAGGCAUGACGUCACUGACAAGUGACGACCGUUAAAGUAAAAUAUAUACCAAUGAACGUAAUGUGAAAUGGCGGAUUUAUUAAAUAAAUGAGAAUCAAUGAACAAUAAUAUUAUACAAAUACAAUGACAAAAACGUAAGUUAAGCAAUAUACAUCAGUGGAAAUCAAUAAAUAUGAUGUUUAUGAAUAUAAAUUUAUUUAGAUAAUAAGCAUUUUAAUUUAAUAAGGAGUGUUUGUUUACAUUACACCAUGUAAUACGGAAUGGCCAAUGGGAGGAGUAACGGCCUAGUAAUAUGUUGACUAUGCUUUGAUUUAUUGUUUGAUUUAAUCACUCUGCCAUUCUUUUACUUACCAGGUUGAGGGUCGCCCAAAACCACCCGGUGCCUUGCAAUGAAAACCUCCAACGGGACUGUGACCUUGCCCUUGUACACACCUAAUGGUCAGGUAUAAGGUCACUUGGGCUUAGAUAGUCACUGCAGUUAGAACAUGUAAGGUUUAAAAGGACAUCCGAGACUGCAAUGACGAAAUGAGUGUCCUCACUUCAGCAGUGGAGGCCAAUACACAAUACGAGAGUUUCCAGCGGCUUACCUUAUCUAAAAACCUGGGUUGCAGAGCAAUGAGUAUGUCCCAGGAGCAUUUGCAGUCAUCGUCUGCAGAUUAUGAGAUCCCCAUGCUCCACAACCCUCAGUCUAUGAACAUCAUGCAGAGCGAUUCUUGGACGUACCUUGACGAAAUCAAACCAGCAAAUCAGAAGGACAGCCUGCUGCUACUGUUGUUAUCAUAUUAACCCCAUACCGAAAAAGCUCAGAGAUAUAAAGGCUGUUUAAGAUGUGCUUGUCUCUACAUACCCCGUGUCUGGUGUGAACAUGUACAAUUGAAUGUCUCUACAUACUCCAUGUCUGCUGUGAACAUGUACAAUUGAAGGUCUCUACAUACUCCAUGUCUGGUGUGAACAUGUACAAUUGAAGGUCUCUACAUACCACAUGUCUGGUGUGAACAUGUACAAUUGAAGGUCUCUACAUACCCCAUGUCUGGUGUGAACAUGUACAAUUGAAUGUCUCAUCUUUGGAAUUGGGACACAUGGAAAAUUAGUGAUUUGAUUCAGACAGAAAUCGCAUAGUGACAAAUCACAACAAAAAAUGGAAAGCAAGAAAGUCUUGUGGCCAGCAAUGUUUUUAUGUGACCACUAAGUUGUGUUCAAAGAAAAACAAUAGUUCAUGUUUUAUUGGAACUAUGAUGCUGUCAUUCAUUUUAUGUUGAAGGCUUUAAAUAACUAUAUUUAAAUAUAAUAAGAUUAAGAUUACUUGAUAAAAGAAAUAAUGUUAUAUAGUAUUUUAAGCGCAAAAUUUACAAGUCUAUCCAAUUACUGUGUCUGUAUUAUGACAUUUUAUUUUGGAAAUGUUAAGGAAAAUAUAAUGUUAGUAAAUAUAUGUCUAUGAAUGUUGAUUUUGACAUUUGUCAAAGCUGUUUAAAUGAUGCUGGUAACUAUGACAAAAUUUAAAGAAAUGUAUUAUUUUCAUGUAAUGAGACAUGCUUCAGUUUUUUUUGUGGCUUAACCUGUAAUAUAGAGGUGGUAGUUACAAGAAUUGUUUAGCCAGAUGGAGAAUGUUUAUGCUAUGGCUUUGAUACUCUUAAGUGUGCCCAUUGGUGUCUGGUUUUUAUCAAGAAUAUUGUUUAUUGUCUAACAAUUUCUUGAAAAUAUUGAUUAAUUUUAGACAAAAUCAUUUAAUCUUCCUUAAAUUGUCUAUUCUGUAUUCACGACCAGUUAUUUAUUAAUUUGCAUGAAUAUGAUUUAUUAAUGACUUUUGUGUUGCUUAAAAUGCUUUAUUUGUUUUGGAACUGAGUAUUUAAAAACGAAAAUAUGAGGUGUAGGAAAAAUGGCCAAAGUUAUGAUAAUUAUUUUUUUGUUUUUGUAAAGUUUAUUAUGCUUUAUAUGUUUGUGUAUAGGCAUUUAGACGACCAGAUUAACUUGACCAAUAAUUCGUGCUCACUGUAUAUAUCGGUCAGUACAUUAGUCACUUGUAUAUAUAGCGAUUGUGAAAUGAUUGUAUUUGCAAUGUAAAUCAUGCGUUUAUUGUUACCAUUUUGAUUUUCGCUGUUAACAUGUAUUUGUACUAACAAUUUUCAUCAUGUACAUCUUUUAGGUGCCAGAUAAUAAAAACAAACAUUGCUUGUGAGAAUGCUCAUUUAAAACUUUCUUAAUGAUACAGAACAACACAUUCUGAAGAGGCAAAUAUCCUUUAGACAAUAGGAACAUCUUGUUACUAGUAUAUGUAAUGCCUUUCACUAAAUAAAGUCAAGCAACUAUUGAAAGAUUGGUUUAACUUUAUUUUGCAUUAUCUUAAGAAAAAUUAAUAUAUUCAACUUGGAAAUCAGUCAAUUGCAAAUCAAGCGAGAGUGAUGAAUAUUUGUACGCAAGAUAGAGGGAUGUUUUCGCUUGAAAAAAAGUUGUAUCCCUUGUUAGAUAAUGAUUUUGUUCAUCUCUCAACAUAACAAGUGCAUUCAUACAGCUAUCAAAAAUAUGACACACUUAAUACUCAGCC